rnacentral:rRNA from 1 species
GAUGAACGCUGGCGGCGUGCCUAAUACAUGCAAGUCGAGCGAACAGACGAGGAGCUUGCUCCUCUGACGUUAGCGGCGGACGGGUGAGUAACACGUGGAUAACCUACCUAUAAGACUGGGAUAACUUCGGGAAACCGGAGCUAAUACCGGAUAAUAUAUUGAACCGCAUGGUUCAAUAGUGAAAGACGGUUUUGCUGUCACUUAUAGAUGGAUCCGCGCCGCAUUAGCUAGUUGGUAAGGUAACGGCUUACCAAGGCAACGAUGCGUAGCCGACCUGAGAGGGUGAUCGGCCACACUGGAACUGAGAAACGGUCCAGACUCCUACGGGAGGCAGCAGUAGGGAAUAUUCCGCAAUGGGCGAAAGCCUGACGGAGCAACGCCGCGUGAGUGAUGAAGGUCUUCGGAUCGUAAAACUCUGUUAUUAGGGAAGAACAAAUGUGUAAGUAACUAUGCACGUCUUGACGGUACCUAAUCAGAAAGCCACGGCUAACUACGUG